CCGGGCUCCAUAUUUAGAUCUCUUUUCUGGUAAUUCCCUGGGGAACCUAGUCUGGAGAGAUAUUGCAAAGUUUGCCGUGAUGCAAAAGAGCUGCUGUUGGCCACCCAGCGAAUGUGAUUGAACCGAGACAAGUAAUUUGCCCAGGUGAAGCUGGACCCUUCAGAAACAAAUGUAAUCCACUGCAUCUACAGGGGC
ensembl:lncRNA